rnacentral:tRNA from 1 species
UCCCACAUAGUGUAGUGGUUAGCAUGUCAGGUUUUCACCCUGGAGACCCGGGUUCAAACCCCGGUGUGGGAA